UAUGUUUUUGCUCUAUGCUGCACAAUACUGGCUCCAUUUGCCCUGCUGGGUGACACACACAUAAACAGACACGUCUUUUACCCUGUCAAUACGAGUUAAUGUGUUCAGAACACUAGAGAAGAGAGCAGUGUGGCCAAUGGCUCCACCUCGAGGCGUUUUUCAGUAACUGCAAAAAAGAGUAGGCAAUGCCGUCCAAAAUGAGUUCAAGGAAACUCGAUUCCCAGAGGCCAAUUUUGGAUGUCAGCAGGCAUCGCAUGGACGAAGGUGCAUGGCACAGUAUGAUAACAGCCUUCAAGCAGAUGUCAGAGAAUGAAGUGAGAGGAUCCAGUCAGCCCCAGUCCUUCCUGGCUCAACAGAGGCAGUCUGCUACACUCAGAAGGGUCCAAACUAAUAUAAAACGAUGAAUUUGCUCAUAAUCUCGAGUCUGUACAUAGCGCCUUGGUGAGACACGAGCUCCACCUGCUGGUUUCUGAAUGUAUUUGCAUGCACAUAUUAGUUUUAUCCUGUAGUAUUUUUAUUAAAAGCCGUCGAUGCAAAAAUAUU